AUUGAACGCUGGCGGCAGGCCUAACACAUGCAAGUCGAACGGUAGCACAGAGAGCUUGCUCUCGGGUGACGAGUGGCGGACGGGUGAGUAAUGUCUGGGAAACUGCCCGAUGGAGGGGGAUAACUACUGGAAACGGUAGCUAAUACCGCAUAACGUCGCAAGACCAAAGUGGGGGACCUUCGGGCCUCACACCAUUGGAUGGGCCCAGAUGGGAUUAGCUAGUAGGUGGGGUAAUGGCUCACCUAGGCGACGAUCCCUAGCUGGUCUGAGAGGAUGACCAGCCACACUGGAACUGAGACACGGUCCAGACUCCUACGGGAGGCAGCAGUGGGGAAUAUUGCACAAUGGGCGCAAGCCUGAUGCAGCCAUGCCGCGUGUAUGAAGAAGGCCUUCGGGUUGUAAAGUACUUUCAGCGGGGAGGAAGGCGGUGAAGUUAAUAACUUCACCGAUUGACGUUACCCGCAGAAGAAGCACCGGCUAACUCCGUGCCAGCAGCCGCAGUAA
rnacentral:rRNA from 1 species